rnacentral:rRNA from 1 species
UACGGAGGGGGCUAGCGUUGUUCGGAAUUACUGGGCGUAAAGCGCGCGUAGGCGGACCUGCAAGUCGGGGGUGAAAGCCCGAGGCUCAACCUCGGAACUGCCUUCGAUACUGCGGGUCUCGAGUCCGGGAGAGGUGAGUGGAAUUCCUAGUGUAGAGGUGAAAUUCGUAGAUAUUAGGAAGAACACCAGUGGCGACGGCGGCUCACUGGCCCGGUACUGACGCUGAGGCGCGAAAGCGUGGGGAGCAAACAGG